rnacentral:rRNA from 1 species
ACAAUUUGGAAACAGAUGCUAAUACCGCAUAAAUCCAAGAACCGCAUGGUUCUUGGCUGAAAGAUGGCGUAAGCUAUCGCUUUUGGAUGGACCCGCGUUGGAUUAGCCAGUUGGCAGGGUAACGGCCUACCAAAGCGACGAUCCAUAGCCGGCCUGAGAGGGUGAACGGCCACAUUGGGACUGAGACACGGCCCAGACUCAUACGGGAGGCAGCAUG